rnacentral:rRNA from 1 species
UCAGGAUGAACGCUGGGGGCGUGCCUAACACAUGCAAGUCGAACGGAGUUUAUGAGGAAGAAGCUUCGGCAGAAUUCUUAUAAACUUAGUGGCGGACGGGUGAGUAACACGUGGAGAACCUGCCUCUUACCGGGGGACAGCAGUUGGAAACGACUGAUAAUACCGCAUAAGCGCACGAGGCCGCAUGGUCUGGUGUGAAAAGAUUUAUCGGUAAGAGAUGGCUCCGCGUCUGAUUAGCCAGUUGGCGGGGUAACGGCCCACCAAAGCGACGAUCAGUAGCCGGCCUGAGAGGGUGAACGGCCACAUUGGGACUGAGACACGGCCCAGACUCCUACGGGAGGCAGCAGUGGGGGAUAUUGCACAAUGGAGGAAACUCUGAUGCAGCGACGCCGCGUGAGUGAAGAAGUAUUUCGGUAUGUAAAGCUCUAUCAGCAGGGAAGAAAGACCUCGAAAGAGGGGAUGACGGUACCUGAGUAAGAAGCCCCGGCUAACUACGUGCCAGCAGCCGCGGUAAUACGUAGGGGGCGAGCGUUAUCCGGAUUUACUGGGUGUAAAGGGAGCGCAGACGGAAGAGCAAGUCUGAUGUGAAAACCCGGGGCUCAACCCCGGGCCUGCAUUGGAAACUGUUUUUCUGGAGUACUGGAAGGGCAGGCGGAAUUCCUGGUGUAGCGGUGAAAUGCUUAGAUAUCAGGAGGAACACCGGUGGCGAAGGCGGCCUGCUGGACAGUAACUGACGUUGAGGCUCGAAAGCGUGGGGAGCAAACAGGAUUAGAUACCCUGGUAGUCCACGCCGUAAACGAUGA